rnacentral:rRNA from 1 species
GCAAGUCGAACGCGAAAGGGACUUCGGUCCUGAGUAAAGUGGCGGCACGGGUGAGUAACGCGUAGAUAACCUGUCUUCAUGUCUGGAAUAAUACGCCAAAGGGGUACUAAUACCGGAUAUCUUGCUUUUCAUAAGUUAUGCAAGCAAAGGUGGCCUCUGCAUAUGCUACUGCAUGAAGAGGGGUCUGCGUACCAUUAGCUAGUAGGUGGGGUAAUGGCCUACCUAGGCGACGAUGGUUAGCGGGUCUGAGAGGAUGAUCCGCCACACUGGCACUGGAACACGGGCCAGACUCCUACGGGAGGCAGCAGUGAGGAAUAUUGCGCAAUGGGGGAAACCCUGACGCAGCGACGCCGCGUGAGUGAGGAAGGCCUUCGGGUCGUAAAGCUCUGUCAAGAGGAAAGAAGUGUACAAUGGCUAAUACCUGUUGUAUUUGACGGUACCUCUAAAGGAAGCACCGGCUAACUCCGUGCCAGCCGCCGC